UACUCAUGUCCAUUGAGUCGGGGAUGCCAUCCAACCAUCUGAUCCUCUGUCAUCCCCUUCUGCUCCCACCUUCAGUCUUUUCCAAGGAGAUGAGUAGAAAGUACAUAUCUUUAAGAAGAGACUUGGAUUUGAAGAAGAAAGAUGUUUGGAAAGGAAAUAUCCCCUUAGAUUGUGUGUGGAUCCAGACAGGAAAAGUUCAUCUGGGAAGCAGGAAACAGAAUGUAAAACCCAGAUGAGAAUUUUAGGGAUAUUUGGAAUAAAAAGGUAUUUGGCAGCUUCCAUGGUUUAACCACCUCUUUUGCAGGAGAUCUGAUUCAACGGCUGUUUGCAAUUACUGUGUUUUUUUGUUGUAUGACAUGAUAGCAAGAGAAGAUGGAAAUAAUUAGAACUUAAUUUGGAUGCCAGAGUUCCAGAUUUCAGAUUGGAACGUCAUGCCUGUCCUUCAGUAUGAACACCUGGAAGAGUGCAUAAGAGGGAUAUGCGCCCAGGCAGGCUAAAUUUCUACUUGCAGUCAUGAUGUGAAUCAAACGCUACUGCAGGCCCAGCAUGGACCCAGAUUAUGUCACCCCCAGAGUGCCCACUGUGUGAUCCAGAAGACACUAGUAGUUUCUGGACUAGACACCACACCAUUGGAGGAAAAACAGCCUUCGGCCCAAAGAAAAUUAUAUUGAGAGAAGAAAUCGAAAGCCUUUUGAAGAAAAACUCAGAUUGCACAUGGGAUUGGUCAGGCAAGAAUGCUGGCGUGGCUUGUCAUUUCCCCCUCCAGGGGAUCUUCCUGAAGAGUGAGAGACGGAACCUGCAUCUCCUGCACUGGCAGGCAGUUUCUUUACCAUUGCGCCACCUGGGAGCCUUCACCAGUGUCACUUGCUGUAUCUAACAUUGUCCUUUGUGCUGAACUUGGGGGCUCUGAGAAUCAGUGUUAAUCUAAGCAAAUCUGCACCUACAUUUUUAAAAAAACCAUAAAUUGAAAACAUAAAUCUUUGCCAAAUCCUCUAGAGAUUAAUGUAUUACAUGUGGUCUAAACUUUAUAAAAGCUUUUUGAUUAAACCAGCAAAAAGUAAUUUAUUUAAAAAUAAAUAUCUGUACUCCCACUGUGUCACUGGGGACCUUUCAGUCCUGGUUUGGGUGAUUACAGCUGGAGCCAGUUGCAGCAGUGGAAGGGACCCUUGUUUUCAGCUUUUGCUCUUCAAGACCUGGGAGGAUUCGGGAGGUCAAGAAGUCAGAGCGAGACCAUAACCACCUCUCCUGGGACCUUGCUUGAGGCAGAAGUGGGGCUUCUCCGGGUGACCGAAAUCUCCCAGCUUUGCUGAAGGAAACCAGGCUCUGUGUUGACUUACAGGUGUUAGCAACUUAUUUUUCAAUAUUCUAAAAAUUUAUUGGGACAUCCAAAUCAUUUUGGAAAAUCAUCUGUCAACUCUAAGAUAAGGCAAAGAUGUACUGUAGAUUGAACUUUUCCUCUCUAGAUUUCUAGGUCAGUUUAAGGGUAUUUGAAACAAGCGUCCUAAGUGUUGUGAUUAAGCAGCUACAUUUCUUAGAAGAUUCCUCUGGUUUUUGAAAUCUCCUCUCCUGUCUGAGAGGCUUAAUACAAAUUUAGCUUGAUAAAUAUGUCUUGAAAAUGGACCAUUUCACCAGUCCUAUAUAUUAAUGGUUACUUGGGGCACAAACAUGUGCUCACUGGAGCCCUUUGACAGACAGACAGAUAGACACAGGGCUGACAACUAGCAGGUACCAACAUCCACUCUGGGCACCACUGCAGUCUGCCUUGAUCAGCUGGUACCUGGGCCUCAUCCAGAGUUCAGCACUCUGUUUGUGGCCCCCCAUCAUGGGUCUUGGCAGAUGUACUGUCUCAGCGCUGAAAUCUGGUUGAGCUCUUCUUCUCCCCAUUGCUGAUCAACCCAGUCCUUGUUGCCAGCCUUGACCUCAGCCAGUCUCCAGGGUCAAUCAGAGAUGCCAGUGAUGGAAGGAGAACCCAGUUUAUUUUUUUUCCUCAGGCGACCUCGCUCUCAUCACCCUGCCUUUGCACGAGGCCUCCAUUAGGGACCCACAAGCCGGCGCCCUGACACUCUGCAGGUCUCCUUCCCCACGGCCGCUCCCCCUCGGCCUGCCUGGCGCAUGCACACACAGGCACACCUGGGACGAGUUGUGACUUCAGCCCCGCUGCGUCCUCCCUG